ACCGCCCAACUGCCCUGUUCCCAAGCUGGGGACUGACCUAUAAACUCCGGCAUGGGUUCGGAAAACAGAGACAAGCCGCGUGGGAGCAAAGGCAGUAAAGGGGCCUCGGAGAGACGAGGAUGUACGCAGCCUUGAUGGAUUUUCUUGACUUCAGCCUCGGGAGUACGGUUUUGGGAUAUAACCCUGUAGGCAAGAUCCACAAGGCUGCAAGAAAUGGAAAUGUAGCCCAAGUGAGACGUCUGCUCUGUCGGGGAAGUUACAUCGAUGACGCAGACAAGAAGGACAGGUACAUAGAGCCCGGAGGGCAGGGACUCCAGGGACAAGGGGCCAACCCAGGGAAGCCGUUCUCAUGAGGCUGUGCCCAGGGGGACAGAGCAGAAGGGAGUCCAGCUCUCUUUUGACCCGAUGCUGGGCUUUUAUGCCUCACGGACCGGACAGCUGGGACCUGCAAACCUCGGAGCUCAGGUCCUCUUAAUGAGCUGCAAAACUUCAGCUGCUUUCCCAGCAGCUUACAACCCCCCUAUAGAGCGACUGAUUGCCUGUUUAAGAGCGAUUUAACUCACAAAAUUAAGUACACACAACGGUUUAUUGUUAAUUCACACAUUUUAAAAAGCAAGUUAUAUACAUAGUAGAAAAGUGUAUUCUGAGAAAAAUAUUUCUUCCAACUGGAAGAUUCUUCCAGGGCAGCCCAAUAUCCAUUUGCAUUAGUGUACACCUAUAUCCCUGUUCUCUAUGGAGGGGCCUCAGGGGGACUUUUUGAAGUGAGAAGAUUUCUCCGUGGGCUUUCUAAUGGUCAUGUUUAAAGUUAUCUCACACUAGUGUAUUUAGGGGUGCCACUUCCACUCAAGAUAUUUUACUUAUUUCUCACGCUUCACUAAUUCCUCGACUUCUGAAGUGUCACUUUGUGUCAUCUUGGUCAGCCAACCAUCUUCAUGACAAGAUGUUGACGAGUACUCCAUUAACUUCACUCACUUCCGAGAGAGUGGAACAGAGUGCACGGCAGCUUCCCCUUUCCAAAGCACCACACACAUCACAUCGUCCUGUUUCCACUUGUCACCACUGCAGGCUACCGCAAGCAACUUCUGCCAAAGCUUCCGGUGAAAAAUGGCCGAUUCCGACUGUUCGGAUACCCUCUCCUGUGGUUAUCCAGUCCCGCUUCUCUAUUUAGGCAGCGUCCCAGCGACCCACCAAGGCGGCAGGGGCAGCACAGGGAGGGCAGAGGGCAGAAGCAGAGGGCAUCAUAGGCUGCUUGCAGCCACGCUAACGCCCCUCACCCUGUCUUAUUCUCAAGGGACCAGGGAUCAAAGGAGGGCCUGGGCCCUGCUGUGAUUUUAUUUUAUUUGUUUUUUUAUGUGGUGCUGAGGAUGGAACCCAGUGCCUCAAACAUGCUAGGCAAGUGCUCUACCCUGAGCUACAACCAGAGCUCUGGUGUAAUGGUCUUGAAUAGGAAUACAUUAUCUCCAAAGUGUGAGCUCUUUCUAUGGUUACCAAUUUUUAUUUGCCAGUAAAAAUAUCAGAGUUUUAACAUUUUUGAGUCUCACAUUCAGCCUUUUAGGGUUGUGAUGACACUAAGAAAAUAUUUGUAAUAAACACAGGCUUGCCCCCUGGGUAUCAAAAUACACAAUUAACUUUCACAAAUUACUUUUGCCAACAGCUGAAAGGACAGAAAAACGAAUGGAACAGAAUAAAAGUCAAGAAGCACCCAUGCCGCAGUCUGGCUGGGCACAAAUGCCGCAGUCUGGCUGGGCACACAAUCACGAGCCACCACACAGCUUGUAGAUUCAAACAGCAACUCUUUAUUCCCG
rnacentral:lncRNA from 1 species